AAACAUCAGAAUGUCUAUACAGACUCCGACAUUCUCGGUCAAAAUAUGACAAUUCAUUGGGGUCAAAUGCACUCGCUGUAACAAAUCAGAAUGCCUCUGAACUGCAACAGUAGGUAGGGAGCUAGUCCUUCAAUCCAGUCGUUCCGUGUACUCUUCCCACAUGCUUUACAAUAACAAUUUACAAGCCUCAGAAACAACCAUAGAAAGACAAAAAAGGACUUACAGGUUUCAUUAUCAUUUUGAGAAAAAGC
rnacentral:lncRNA from 1 species